GUAGGGAAUAUUGCACAAUGGGCGAAAGCCUGAUGCAGCAACGCCGCGUGCGCGACGAAGGCCUUCGGGUCGUAAAGCGCUUUUCGGGGAGAUGAGGAAGGACAGUAUCCCCGGAAUAAGGCUCGGCUAACUACGUGCCAGCAGCCGCGGUAAAACGUAGGAGCCAAGCGUUAUCCGAAUUCACUGGGCGUAAAGCGCGUGCAGGCGGCCUGAUAAGUUGGAUGUGAAAGCUCCUGGCUCAACUGGGAGAGGACGUUCAAUACUGUCGGGCUAGAGGGCAGCAGAGGGAGGUGGAAUUCCCGGUGUAGUGGUGAAAUGCGUAGAUAUCGGGAGGAACACCAGUGGCGAAGGCGGCCUCCUGGGCUGCACCUGACGCUCAGAUGCGAAAGCUAGGGGAGCGAACGGGAUUAGAAACCCCAGUAGUCC
rnacentral:rRNA from 1 species